rnacentral:sRNA from 1 species
GAACCUACUUCAGGACCCUCAGUGACCGA